rnacentral:misc_RNA from 1 species
AACAAGGCGUACCUGCGGACCUGCGGAGGGAUCAUUACAGAGUGUAAAAACUCCCAAAACCCAUGUGAACAUACCUUUUUGUUGCUUCGGCGGGAUCGCCCCGGGCGCCUUGUGUGCCCCGGAGUCAGGCGCCCGCCGGGGGACCCAAACUCUUGUUUUUAACGAGUAUCUUCUGAGUAACGUUUUUAAAUAAAUAAAAACUUUUAACAACGGAUCU